CCUCCUCUCCCGGGCUAGCAGGAGGAGGAGGAGGAGGCGGCGGCGGCGGCGGCAGACACACAAGAGCCCUAUUGUAUUAUUGACACCGCUGGCUCCCACGCUCCGCCUCUUCCCUUUCCCUCCCUGCCAGCCACACUCUCCCUCAUUGACUGGCUUCGGCCGCGGGGCUCCCCUCUGUUCCUGCCAGCUGCUCCGAAGGAAGAGCUCCGGCUAAGGGGGGGCUCUUCUUCUGCCUCCCCCCACUUCGUUCUAUACCUGCCGCUGCGGCUGCCCCGAAGUCACCGCCCCCAGCCUCCCCCUGCCUCCCGUCCACUUCUCCCCUUCCCACAUACAUACAAGCCAAGCCGCUAAGUAAGUACCUCCUCCCCGGACGCCGCCACUCACACGCAAGGCAUCCUGAACUUUUCCGCGCACCCACUCGGCGCUACCAGACCGUGCCACAGCCGCCGCCUCCUCCACCUCCUGGUUUUCACACUGGCACCUCUGUGCCUCCGCAGGAGGGCCCUACACUUGCAGAUGCCCUGCUCUGCUCCCUUCCAGCCUGGCGUAAUGGAAAGAGCAUAGAUUAUGGAACUGGAUUCAAAUCGCAGCUCUUGACUUACCUGUCACCGGUGUGACCCUGGAGAAGUCAUUUAGCCUUUCUCACCUGUAAAAUGAUGGAAUUUUCCCAAGUUUCUUUCUAACGAAUUCUAAAUCGAUUUUCUCAUGCUUUCUGGAAGACCAUGUGUUUGAGCUGGCAAGAUCAAGGAAGACUUCAUGAUGGCAAUGGCACCUGAGGCAGGCUUUUCAGGCAGGAAAAGAUUUCAGCAGACUGAGUUGUGGAGGUGAGAUGAUUCCAGGCAUGAAGUACAACUGGUACAAAAGAAAAGAGAUGGGAAAAGCUACGGGAAAAAAUCAAGGAAUGGUCAAAACAGUCUAUGAGAGGGACUGAUAAGCCUUUGCCUAAACUCUUUUAACAAUUAAUAGACACUAUGCAGCAAAUAUACCACUAUGGCACUUGAUUUAAAUGAAUAUAUUUUAAUUGACAAACUUUGAUGUAACACAUCAAACAAACCAUCAACUACACACAUUUUAUUCAAAAAACAAUUAUAUAACAAAACAUGAAAGAAGGAUAGUGACUGAUAAUACAUAAACCAGUGUCAUCUACUCUAUUUGUCCAGAGGCUUUUAAAUUUAAAUAGCUAUAGUCAAUAUAUUGUGUUGGUUUUGUUUUCUUCACUGUGCAUCAUUUUAAUACAGGUCUUUGCAGAAGUCUUGUGAUAUCAGCCAAAAAAGCUAAUACAAUCUUGGGCUACAAUAAGAGCAGCACCUAUAAACAAAGCUUAGGAAUACUAUGAAUGGAAGUUGCAGAGAUGAAUUUAGGAAAGAAAAACCUCCUGACCAUGUGUUUGAGCUGGCAAGAUCAAGGAAGACUUCAUGAUGGCAGUGGCACCUGAGGCAGGCUUUUCAGGCAGGAAAAGAUUUCAGCAGAUAGAGUUGGCCCGGUGGGUAGAGUGACAGGCCUGGAGUCCGGAAGACUUGAAUUCAAAUAUGGCCUUUACUAGCCAUGUG